rnacentral:misc_RNA from 1 species
AAUUACCUGAAUGGAGGAUAACAACCUAUCCCAAUAGUUGUUGUUCUGGUUUUUCAGGUGGGGAACUCUGUUUUGCUUGUAAUUGUUUGACUACCAUCACUUGUCGGCGACUCAGCCAUUUUCCUACUCGAGAUAAUGCAAUAUGGGUUUGGAAGUAUGUUUUAGAUGUUGCUAAAGUAUUUCAGAAAUGUUCAGACGAUUUUGGACUUGGAGGAGGCAGAACUCUUGG